rnacentral:rRNA from 1 species
GUAGGGUGCGAGCGUUAAUCGGAAUUACUGGGCGUAAAGCGUGCGCAGGCGGUUUUGUAAGACAGGCGUGAAAUCCCCGAGCUCAACUUGGGAAUGGCGCUUGUGACUGCAAGGCUAGAGUAUGUCAGAGGGGGGUAGAAUUCCACGUGUAGCAGUGAAAUGCGUAGAGAUGUGGAGGAAUACCGAUGGCGAAGGCAGCCCCCUGGGACGUCACUGACGCUCAUGCACGAAAGCGUGGGGAGCAAACAGGAUUAGAUACCCUGGUAGUCCACGCCCCUAAACGAUGUCAACUAGUUGUUGGGGAUUCAUUUCUUCAGUAACGUAGCUAACGCGUGAAGUUGACCGCCUGGGAGUACGGUCGCAAGAUUA